rnacentral:ncRNA from 2 species
UGCAAAUUUUCAUAGGUUUCUCGUAUAUGUGCAGGAAUGGGCCUGCAUGUCUCUACCCGAUCACCGGAAAUGAUCGGACUACGGGAAUAACAAGCAACCCG